GGCCGCAGUACUCUGAGUGCUCUAGGGUCGCAUAAUCAUUACCCUUUUUUGUGAGGGCUGGUAUAAGAGAUUUGACAUAGAAGCCAGUGUCUCAACUAUAAGUAAUUAUAUUUUUAUAAAGAGGUAAAAACGCCUUUAAGUAUUAAAAAGACGAUGACCCCCUAAAAUCCACUCUAGAGCACCAAAUAUUUUUGAGAGUAUUCUAUAUGACUAUUAGUGUAACAGGUUCGCUGGGGCGGUAACUAUUAUAAAACCUACAGCAUAUUUAACAUAUUGUAUGAAUUAUACUAACCUUUAAGAAUAUAAUGCGAGACUUUAGGGAUAACAGCUUAAUAUAUUUUUAACGUUCCUAUUGACGAAGAUGUUUAUGACCUCGAUGUUGAAUUGAUCUAUCUAUAUUUAGAAGAGUAGCGAGUCGUGCGUCUGUUCGACUCUUAAUAGAUCACAUGAUUUGAGUUCAACCCGCCGUGGAUG
rnacentral:rRNA from 1 species